ensembl:lncRNA
ACUGGGUGCCAGGAAAACCAAGUAUGCGAUUGGAAGGUUGGACUUUCAGUCCCACCCCCGCCAACCUCUGAGGGGAGAGGGGGUUGGAGGUUGAGUUACUGGCCAAUGGCCAAUGAUACACUCAAUCAUAACUAUGUAGUGAAGCAUCUGAAAACCCAGAAAGUGCAGGGUUCGGAGAGCUUCUGGUUUGGUCUUGCUCUAUGAUGUUUAGCAGUGAAUACGAAUGUUACCAGAGGACACUAGAGCUGAAAAUCACCUGGAGGACACCUGCCCUUAUGCCUUCAUUUCACAGAGAACGUGCCUGCCAGUGACCCGUGGGGCAACUCUCCUCACUUCUCUGGAGGGGGAAGAAGCCAACAGCUCUGAGCGGUCUGGAAACUCUGCUAGGUGCCAUGGCGCUGUGAGCAGUUGCCCAGCCACUACAAGAAGGAACCCCACCCUUGUCCUACAUUUAUUUUCUUUCCCAGACCUCACAAAACCACAAAAAUCAAAGAUGACUCCCAAGAAGCCAGUCAUCGGACUUUGCAAACCCAGCCCAAGGCUAUGGAUGCUGGCACCUUGGCUGGCUCCCUGGGAAAGACAACUGAACAUCUCAUGGAAAAAUCAAGGAAAUAACCUCAGAAAUAAUUCUCCAUGAAGUUGCUGAACCAGGACACGAUCUCUUUUUGCUCUGGACCAUCCUUGUCAUUGUCAAAUAAGAGAUUCAUGGAAGGGUUUAUAU